AAAAAAAUUUAAUUAUAAAUUUAUUAAAAAAAAACAAAAAUAAAAAUAAUUUUUAUCCCAAUAAAAAAUUUCAAAUAUGAACAACUACUGCACACAUGUUCCUUUUUUUGUUUCUUUUAUCAUAAUUCAAAUAUUAUCCCGCUGUAAACUGAACAACAACUGUCCAUAUUCCUUUUCCACCGCUGCAAGCCUGCAACUGCUGCCAGACCUCCACGCCGUCCAGGGUUUUGCAAUCUUCUUCACAGAGACCCACUACUUUUCUUUUUCCUUCUUCUGUCUUCAUCGCCUCUUCUUUUUUAUUGCUACCGGUGGAAUUUGGAAAAAUAAGGAUAUGGCUUCGAUGGAUGAAACAAAUAUUUUUGAUCUUCCAUCUGAUACACACAAUAGUAUAUCAGUGGAUUCCCUUUCAAGCCAACCUGUGGAUGAUAACAGAAAUGAAGACGAAAGGAAUUCAAAUCAAGCAAAUGAAGGUGCCAAUAGGAAAAAAAGGAAAAAAACUUCAAUUGUGUGGAAUGACUUUGAUGAAAUUCAAGUUGCUGAAGGUGUUAAGAAAGCUAUUUGCAAAUACUGUAAAAAUGCAUUUGCUACUGGGGAAAGAGGUGCGAGCACAAGCCAUCUAAAGAGACAUUCAGAAGGGUGUUUGCAGAGGUCAGUACAAAUGGCUUCACAAAAGAAACAAUGUGUCAUUCCUUUUAAGCCAUCCAAUUCAAGUAAUCCGUUUAUAAGUCCGGGGUUUAGAUUUUCUAAUGAAAAGAUGAGGGAAGUCAUUGCCACUUCUAUUAUGGUACAUGAGUAUCCUUUUAGCAUUGUAGAAGACGAUGCUUUUAUAUGGUCAUUUCAGUAUGCGAACCCUGAAUUUCAGAAAGUUUCUCGUAAGACGAUACGAAGUGAUUGCAUAGCAAUAUAUGAAGCAUAAAGAAAAGCAUUGAAGGAAUUAUUAAAGAGUGUGAGCAAGAUUAGCUUGACAACAGAUAUGUGGAAAUCCAGUCAUCAAGUGAUUGAAUAUAUGGUAAUCACUGGUCAUUUUAUAGAUUCUGGGUGGAAGCUUCAGAAAAGGAUUUUAAGCUUUGUCAAGGUGCCUGCUCCAAGGCGAGGAAUUGAUGUAGCCAAUGCCAUUUUCAAAUGUUUGAAGGCUUGGGGGAUCGAAGAUAAAGUGUUCUCAGUAUCAGUUGACAAUGCUUCAUAUAAUGACUCGUGCUUGAGGUAUCUAAAAGACUACAUAUCACGCAGCACCAAGCUUGUCCUCGAUGGAGCUCUAUUUCAUGUUAGAUGUUGUGCACACAUAUUGAAUCUUUUGGUGCAAGAUGGGCUUAGUCGAAUCAAAGAUAUCAUCCAUAAUGUUCGUGAAAGUGUGAAGUAUGUAAACUUCAAUGAUUCAAGAUUGAAGAGUUUUGGUGAAGUAGUUGAACAAAAGCAUCUAAAAGAAAGGAAGUUGAUAAUUGAUUGUCCAACAAGGUGGAAUUCUACAUAUCACAUGUUAGCCGCUGCUUUAAAAUUCAAGAUUGUCUUCUCAGAAUACCAAGAAAGAGAACCUCAUUAUACAUUUGCACCUUCAAAUGAAGAUUGGGAGAAAGUCGAGAAAGUUUGUAAACUUUUAGAGGUUUUCAACUUAGCUACCAAUUUAAUAUCUGGAAGUGAAUAUCCUACUGCCAACUUGUAUCUUUCAGAGGUCUGGAAAGUGAAGCAAGUAAUUGAUGAUGCGACAAAGGAUGAUGAUCUUUUUAUGAUACAAAUGGCAACGCAAAUGAAAGAAAAGUUUGAUAAAUAUUGGGGUGAGUGCAAUCUAUUGAUGGCUAUUGCAAAUGUAUUGGAUCCGAGAGUUAAAUUUCAUGGUGUUGAAAUAUGUUUUCCAAUGAUAUACAAGUCUGAAGAAGUUGCUGCCGAGUAUGUGAACAAAGUGCGUGCUUCACUGCAACAACUAUAUAAUGAUUAUGUGGCCUUAAGUGUUGAAGAAUCAUCCUCAAGUCAGUGCAAUAUGGCUAACAUCUCCUCUGCCACCACCCAAUCUGAAUCUGCGAUAGUUACUGGGUUUGAUCAAAUUAUGAGUCUUGUAAGAGCAAAAGAAGCAAUUCCUGUAUCAAAAUCUGAAUUGGAUGCCUAUCUCGAGGACAGUGUUUAUAUUCCUGAUGGAAAUAUGUCUUCAUUUUGUGCCUUGGAGUGGUGGAGGAACAACAGCAUGAAAUAUAAAGUUUUAUCGAAGAUGGCUGCUGAUGUACUUGCGAUUCCAAUAUCAACGGUAGCUUCAGAGUCUACAUUUAGUGCUGGAGGUAGAAUUAUAGAUGAAUAUCGUUCAAGAUUGAAUGAAGAAUCUAUUGAGACACUAAUUUGUGGAGGAGAUUGGCUUCGACAUAAAUACAACUUGAAAAAAAAGAAGGUGAAUGAGUCUUUGAAGGAGAUAAGCUUAUAGAUUAAAGAAGUUCUUUAAUACUUUGGUUGCGGAUGUAUUGUUUGAAAUAUUUAGAUAGGUUUGCAGGAGUGGAAAUGCUAAUGUCCAGAAGAUAUUAUUGAUCUAUUUGCUAUUUUUCUCUUGAAACUUUUAUUGUAUUGAUUUAAUGGUUUCAGAAACUUUGGGAGAAUUUGCAAUUCUUGUGGCUUGUGGCCUGUGGGUGACGUGAACUUGAAAAACUAUGUUAUUAAUUUCUAAAUAUUUUUGUCGAAUUUUUUAAUAUUGCUUCUGAGUUAGCGUUGCUUAUUUCUUUGUUAGAACAAUCAGCUUAAUGACAAUAGAUUGAU